rnacentral:rRNA from 1 species
CCGCACGGGUGAGUAACACGUAUCCAACCUGCCGUCUACUCUUGGACAGCCUUCUGAAAGGAAGAUUAAUACAAGAUGGCAUCAUGAGUUCACAUGUUCACAUGAUUAAAGGUAUUCCGGUAGACGAUGGGGAUGCGUUCCAUUAGAUAGUAGGCGGGGUAACGGCCCACCUAGUCUUCGAUGGAUAGGGGUUCUGAGAGGAAGGUCCCCACAUUGGAACUGAGACACGGUCCAA